rnacentral:piRNA from 1 species
UCCUUUGCUAUCCAAAGCCUCCUCUCCCAGC